GUGCUCACUUGGGUAGCACAUACACUAAAAUUGAAACGAUACAGAGAUUAGCAUGGCCCCUGUGCAAGGAUGACACGCAAAUUCAUGAAGCAUUCUAUAUUUUU